ensembl:lncRNA
AGCUCAGGGAUAGGAUUGUGACCCAAUCAAAGCUAAUGAGAUGCAUUGGGACUCUCUGGGACUACUGGGAGUGAGGCUGAAACUCAUUUUCACCUGACUUCAGUCAAGGAACACCUGAACCUAGAGCUACAACCCCACACGGUGGGGGUGGGGAGGCUAUCAGAGGCAGCGCCAAUGUUCAAGAAGUAAAAGAGGGAAGGAGAGACAGCCUUGCCUAGUAAUAUAAUACCUUGAUCAGCUCCCUCUUGGACUACUACGUUAAGUGAACUAAGAUUUCUCUGUCUCUUUUUUUAAAGAUUUUAUUUUUCCUUUUUCUCCCCAAAGUCCUCCAGUACAUAGUUGUGUAUUUUUAGUUGUGGGUCCUUCUAGCUGUGGCAUGUGGGACACUGCCUCAGCAUGGCUUGAUGAGCGGUGCCAUGUCCACGCCCAGGAUUUGAACUGGUGAAACCCUGGCCUGCCGAAGCAGAGCGCAAGAACUUAACCACUUGGCCAUGGGGCCAGCCCCUAAGAUUUCUCUUUUGCUUGAUCUGGUUUGGGUUGGCCUCUUCUUAUGCCUCCUUGGCUUCCAGGAGAGCAAUUAAAGAGCUUUUCCUCUAGCUUCACUGAAGAAGAUUAAGCUGGGUAAUCCCAGAGAGGAUGGAGGUUUUGACUCAUAAAGAAAGAGUGACAUGCAAGGCCAACGACAGAAUAUACCUUCUCUAAGGCCUGUAAAGCCAUUCCCACUGGACAGAGGCAAGAUUGUUAAGAUUCCAUGCAAAGUGACCAUCAGCUGGCAGGGUCUAUACCAGAGGGCAUCAGAGAAAGAAAGAAAAAACUGGUCUCUGAGGUGUGAACAGUUCAAAAACAGUAAAUAAAUGGAGAGUGAAGUGGGAUUAUUUUUAUUAACUUUCAAACUCAAAGACCUUUAUCAAAAUCAGAUCUUAUAGAAGAGGGAGUAGGGACACUUGGCCGGAUGCCUCUUCCACAACCCUCAUCCCUCACCUUCAAGGUAAACAAGGAAGAAGGAAAAAGAAAUAGCAAAGAGGGAGAGAGAAAAACCGACUUUCCUUCAGCGAGGACCACGCUCCUCUCAGAAAGGGGCCAGGCUUUCAAGGGCCUCUGAUGCAGGAAGGUAGAGGGUAGCUCGGUCUCCUGCAAAUGCAGUCCACUCUCUCAAGCUGAGAUGACAUCUGAGGACAAACCAGAGGCAAUAAGUGGAGGAGCUAGCUUCAGAGUGAUUACUUCUCAAGCUGGAGGUUCCUUUGAGUCUACGUCGUGACCCACUUAACACAAGGACCCCCACAGCCAGUAACAGACUACCAGCCUCCACCUAACCCCUAAAGUAUUGAUCAUUAUGCAUUCAGCUGUAUAGUCAACAACCGCAGAUUCUCUUCUUUGAGACACGGUGCUAGGUCCUUGCUUCCUGGCAUUUACAAUCACAUUUGAAAACUUAGAAAUGCCAAUAACUCCAAUAUAAGAGUAGGAGCAGAUGCCAUUGACUAAGUGAGAUAUAGGAGCUCCAGGGAAGGAGACAUCAUUUCUGACUCCAGUGACUAGGUGCGAGGAGGAUGCAGCUCUGAUGAGAGCCUGCUUUGUCCUGGGACAGUCCUCGAUAUUUUACAGACUCUGUCACUUGAUGUGGAAGGCUUCAUGAAGGACUUGGAGUCUAAGGCCUUGAGUGAUGGGAAGAAUUAGGAAAGGCAGAAAUGUAAUUUCAAUUGAAUUUUUAUUGAUUGCCCA